AUAUGGUCAAGUGAAGAAGCGCAUACGGUGGAUGCCUUGGCAGUCAGAGGCGAUGAAAGACGUGGUAGCCUGCGAAAAGCUUCGGGGAGUCGGCAAACAGACUUUGAUCCGGAGAUGUCUGAAUGGGGGAACCCAGCCAUCAUAAGAUGGUUAUCUUGUACUGAAUACAUAGGUGCAAGAGGCGAACCAGGGGAACUGAAACAUCUAAGUACCCUGAGGAAAAGAAAUCAACCGAGAUUCCCUUAGUAGUGGCGAGCGAACGGGGACUAGCCCUUAAGUGGCUUUGAGAUUAGCGGAACGCUCUGGAAAGUGCGGCCAUAGUGGGUGAUAGCCCUGUACGCGAAAAUCUCUUAGUCAUGAAAUCGAGUAGGACGGGGCACGAGAAACCUUGUCUGAAUAUGGGGGGACCAUCCUCCAAGGCUAAAUACUACUGACUGACCGAUAGUGAACUAGUACCGUGAGGGAAAGGCGAAAAGAACCCCGGAGAGGGGAGUGAAAUAGAUCCUGAAACCGUAUGCGUACAAGCAGUGGGAGCCCACUUGUUGGGUGACUGCGUACCUUUUGUAUAAUGGGUCAGCGACUUAUUUUCAGUGGCGAGCUUAACCGAAUAGGGGAGGCGUAGCGAAAGCGAGUCUUAAUAGGGCGUCUAGUCGCUGGGAAUAGACCCGAAACCGGGCGAUCUAUCCAUGGGCAGGUUGAAGGUUGGGUAACACUAACUGGAGGACCGAACCGACUACCGUUGAAAAGUUAGCGGAUGACCUGUGGAUCGGAGUGAAAGGCUAAUCAAGCUCGGAGAUAGCUGGUUCUCCUCGAAAGCUAUUUAGGUAGCGCCUCAUGUAUCACUGUAGGGGGUAGAGCACUGUUUCGGCUAGGGGGUCAUCCCGACUUACCAAACCGAUGCAAACUCCGAAUACCUACAAGUGCCGAGCAUGGGAGACACACGGCGGGUGCUAACGUCCGUCGUGAAAAGGGAAACAACCCAGACCGUCAGCUAAGGUCCCAAAGUCAUGGUUAAGUGGGAAACGAUGUGGGAAGGCUUAGACAGCUAGGAGGUUGGCUUAGAAGCAGCCACCCUUUAAAGAAAGCGUAAUAGCUCACUAGUCGAGUCGGCCUGCGCGGAAGAUGUAACGGGGCUCAAACCAUGCACCGAAGCUACGGGUAUCACUUAGGUGAUGCGGUAGAGGAGCGUUCUGUAAGCCUGUGAAGGUGAGUUGAGAAGCUUGCUGGAGGUAUCAGAAGUGCGAAUGCUGACAUGAGUAACGACAAUGGGUGUGAAAAACACCCACGCCGAAAGACCAAGGUUUCCUGCGCAACGUUAAUCGACGCAGGGUUAGUCGGUCCCUAAGGCGAGGCUGAAAAGCGUAGUCGAUGGAAAACAGGUUAAUAUUCCUGUACUUCUGGUUAUUGCGAUGGAGGGACGGAGAAGGCUAGGCCAGCUUGGCGUUGGUUGUCCAAGUUUAAGGUGGUAGGCUGAGAUCUUAGGUAAAUCCGGGAUCUUAAGGCCGAGAGCUGAUGACGAGUUGCCAUUAGGCGACGAAGUGGUUGAUGCCAUGCUUCCAAGAAAAGCUUCUAAGCUUCAGGUAACCAGGAACCGUACCCCAAACCGACACAGGUGGUUGGGUAGAGAAUACCAAGGCGCUUGAGAGAACUCGGGUGAAGGAACUAGGCAAAAUGGCACCGUAACUUCGGGAGAAGGUGCGCCGGUGAGGGUGAAGGACUUGCUCCGUAAGCCCAUGCCGGUCGAAGAUACCAGGCCGCUGCGACUGUUUAUUAAAAACACAGCACUCUGCAAACACGAAAGUGGACGUAUAGGGUGUGACGCCUGCCCGGUGCCGGAAGGUUAAUUGAUGGGGUUAGCUAACGCGAAGCUCUUGAUCGAAGCCCCGGUAAACGGCGGCCGUAACUAUAACGGUCCUAAGGUAGCGAAAUUCCUUGUCGGGUAAGUUCCGACCUGCACGAAUGGCGUAACGAUGGCGGCGCUGUCUCCACCCGAGACUCAGUGAAAUUGAAAUCGCUGUGAAGAUGCAGUGUAUCCGCGGCUAGACGGAAAGACCCCGUGAACCUUUACUAUAGCUUUGCACUGGACUUUGAAUUUGCUUGUGUAGGAUAGGUGGGAGGCUUUGAAGCGUGGACGCCAGUUCGCGUGGAGCCAACCUUGAAAUACCACCCUGGCAACUUUGAGGUUCUAACUCAGGUCCGUUAUCCGGAUCGAGGACAGUGUAUGGUGGGUAGUUUGACUGGGGCGGUCUCCUCCUAAAGAGUAACGGAGGAGUACGAAGGUGCGCUCAGACCGGUCGGAAAUCGGUCGUAGAGUAUAAAGGCAAAAGCGCGCUUGACUGCGAGACAGACACGUCGAGCAGGUACGAAAGUAGGUCUUAGUGAUCCGGUGGUUCUGUAUGGAAGGGCCAUCGCUCAACGGAUAAAAGGUACUCCGGGGAUAACAGGCUGAUACCGCCCAAGAGUUCAUAUCGACGGCGGUGUUUGGCACCUCGAUGUCGGCUCAUCACAUCCUGGGGCUGAAGCCGGUCCCAAGGGUAUGGCUGUUCGCCAUUUAAAGUGGUACGCGAGCUGGGUUUAGAACGUCGUGAGACAGUUCGGUCCCUAUCUGCCGUGGACGUUUGAGAUUUGAGAGGGGCUGCUCCUAGUACGAGAGGACCGGAGUGGACGAACCUCUGGUGUUCCGGUUGUCACGCCAGUGGCAUUGCCGGGUAGCUAUGUUCGGGAAAGAUAACCGCUGAAAGCAUCUAAGCGGGAAACUUGCCUCAAGAUGAGAUCUCACUGGAACCUUGAGUUCCCUGAAGGGCCGUCGAAGACUACGACGUUGAUAGGUUGGGUGUGUAAGCGCUGUGAGGCGUUGAGCUAACCAAUACUAAUUGCCCGUGAGGCUUGACCAU
rnacentral:rRNA from 1 species